GCCGGUCUAGCUCAGUUGGUAGAGCGUCUGCCUUGUAAGCAGGGGGUCGGGGGUUCGAGUCCCUCGACCGGCA
rnacentral:tRNA from 1 species